rnacentral:rRNA from 1 species
GCUUAAAACCUAGCCCGACCCCAUCGCAACUUAUGUAACCAAACUUCUUUACUCAACACAAUAAAACAUUUUCAACAUCUAGUAAAGGCGAUUAAAAAAUGUCUAGGAGCCUUAGAAACAGUACCGCAAGGGAACAGUGAAAUAAAAAUGAAAUAACUUUAAAGCACCAAAAAGCAGAGAUCAGACCUCGUACCU